UAAGAAAAAGCAUGGAGGUAGCUCCUUCUCUCCCCUUUCACUUCCCCUCCAACCUGGCAGUUCCAUUCAGUGUUUUCCCUGGAAACAUACCACCCUUCUUAACUGAGCAAGAGAGAAUGAGAGUCGCAAUCAUUUAGCAAUGCACUUGGCAGAUGGCUCUGUUGUUUAAGCAAUAUAAAUCUCAUUUUGUCCCUGACUUGUGAGUCUCUUCAGACAGAAAAUCCUGCAGGUUUAUGAAUAGCCGUGCUCAGAACAAUGAUUGGAGAAAGUCUCUUAAGGCACAGGGAUGAAGGUAAUUCAUCAGGGUCUAUAGCUUAGACAGAUCUCCAUCCCAGAUUAAGAAGAUAUCCCAGAAAAUGAAGAACGUCCAUAAACUCAUUUGUGGAUAACUUGGUUCACCAUAAGAAUUUCCGAAACAAUGUUAAGCCCUGAGAUAAAAGUUUGCAGACACUGGAGAGUGGUGGAAAAGGAUUGGGCUUGUGAACAAAUUGAAGCAUAUUUGAUCAAAACCUGAGCCCCUUUCUCAUUCUGUGUUCUAGAUACAGUUCAUUAAACUUCUAUGAGCCUUGA